rnacentral:rRNA from 1 species
AGACGGAGGGGGCUAGCGUUGUUCGGAAUUACUGGGCGUAAAGAGCGCGUAGGCGGAUUAGUAAGUUGGAAGUGAAAGCCCAAGGCUUAACCUUGGAAUUGCUUUCAAAACUGCUAGUCUUGAGUGAAGUAGGGGGUGAUGGAAUUCCUAGUGUAGAGGUGAAAUUCUUAGAUAUUAGGAGGAACACCGGUGGCGAAGGCGGUCACCUGGGCUUCAACUGACGCUGAGGCGCGAAAGCGUGGGGAGC